AUUGAACGCUGGCGGCAUGCCUUACACAUGCAAGUCGAACGGUAACAGGUCUUCGGAUGCUGACGAGUGGCGAACGGGUGAGUAAUACAUCGGAACGUGCCCGAUCGUGGGGGAUAACGGAGCGAAAGCUUUGCUAAUACCGCAUACGAUCUACGGAUGAAAGCAGGGGACCGCAAGGCCUUGCGCGGACGGAGCGGCCGAUGGCAGAUUAGGUAGUUGGUGGGAUAAAAGCUUACCAAGCCGACGAUCUGUAGCUGGUCUGAGAGGACGACCAGCCACACUGGGACUGAGACACGGCCCAGACUCCUACGGGAGGCAGCAGUGGGGAAUUUUGGACAAUGGGCGAAAGCCUGAUCCAGCCAUGCCGCGUGCAGGAUGAAGGCCUUCGGGUUGUAAACUGCUUUUGUACGGAACGAAAAGACUCUUUCUAAUAAAGAGGGUCCAUGACGGUACCGUAAGGAUAAGCACCGGCUAACUACGU
rnacentral:rRNA from 1 species